rnacentral:tRNA from 1 species
GGGGAUUUAGCUCAGUGGUAGAGCGCUUGCCUAGCAAGCGCAAGGCGCUUGCCUAGCAAGCGCAAGGCCCUGGGUUCGGUCCCCAGCUCCG